rnacentral:rRNA from 1 species
CCCUUAGAUGUUCUGGGCCGCACGCGCGCUACAAUGAUGAAUUCAACGAGUUUAUAACCUUGGUUGAAAAGCCUGGGUAAUCUUUUGAACUUUCGUCGUGAUGGGGCUAGACCCUUGCAAUUAUUGGUCUCCAACGAGGAAUUCCUAGUAAACGCAAGUCAUCAGCUUGCAUUGAUUACGUCCCUGCCCUUUGUACACACCGCCCGUCGCACCUACCGAUUGAGUGAUCCGGUGAAUAAUUCGGACUGCAGCAGUGUUCAGUUCCUGAACGUUGCAGCGGAAAGUUUAGUGAACCUUAUCACUUAGAGGAAGGAGAAGUCGUAACA